UACGUAGGGGGCGAGCGUUGUCCGGAUUUACUGGGCGUAAAGGACGCGCAGGCGGCCCGAGGGGUCUGUCGUUAAAGCCCGGGGCUCAACCCCGGGUGGUCGGCGGAGACCGGCGGGCUUGGAGGCCGGUAGAGGGAUGCGGAAUUCCCGGUGUAGUGGUGAAAUGCGUAGAGAUCGGGAGGAACACCAGAGGCGAAAGCGGCAUCCUGGACCGGUAUUGACGCUGAGGCGCGAAAGCCAGGGGAGCAAACGGG
rnacentral:rRNA from 1 species